CGAUAACGAACGAGACCUUAACCUGCUAAAUAGUCAGGCCGACGUUGGUUGGUCGUCGACUUCUUAGAGGGACUAUCAGCUAUUAGUCAAUGGAAGUUUGAGGCAAUAACAGGUCUGUGAUGCCCUUAGAUGUUCUGGGCCGCACGCGCGCUACACUGAUCAAGUCAGCGAGUUUACAACCUUGACCGGAAAGUUUGGGUAAUCUUGUGAAACUCGGUCGUGCUGGGGAUAGUCCAUUGCAAUUAUUGGUCUUCAACGAGGAAUUCCUAGUAAGCGUGAGUCAUCAGCUCGCGUUGAUUACGUCCCUGCCCUUUGUACACACCGCCCGUCGCUACUACCGAUUGAAUGGCU
rnacentral:rRNA from 1 species